CAAGUUGACACAAAACUAGCCAGUACAGCCUGGGUGCUGUGCUGUGAGUGAUCUUUGCACCAUGGUUUGAAAAACCUGAGCGUCAACUUUGUUGCUCCAGCCUCUACCCUAGUCUUCCCUCCACAUCUGGACCCUGCAGUCAGUGGGCUGGGUGCUUCACAGCCCUGGGGUUCUCUUCAGUCCACCUGCAUGUCUGGGAAGAACUCAGAUGUGCCUCUAAACAGGAAGGAGAGAUGCCGGUGUCACUGGCUCUCCCUCUAUCAGGAGUGUGAGUGUCCUCUAGCACAGUAGGGUGAGAGUUUCUGGUUGGAGGGUAAUGUGGUGUGCAUGUGCACUUCGCAUCUGGGGGACAUGAAAGAGGUUGGGUAAUUUAUAGUGUUUUAUAUUUGAGAGUGAUUGGGGCAUCCGUUGAGGAUGUGAGUUAUGGGGUCAAUUUGAGGGCAUGUGGGCAUUGAUGUAUUUUAUGAGCUCGUGGUGGAAUGCAAAUUAUGUCUGUGGUUUCCAUGUGCUGAGAGACAAGCACCUGUCUGGAGUGAAGUGGGGGGCCUGUGUCUGGGAGUCGUGUAAGACAUGGUAUGCUUGUGCUACGACAGGAGAUGAGUGUAAUGAUGUUUCAUGACAUGCAAUCUAGUGUGUGUUUGUGAUAUGAAGCUUGUAUGUUAAGGGAUUGUGUGAGGUGUGCAUGUGAGGCAUGGCUGUGUUACAGUGUCGGUGUCAGAGUGUGUGACUGUGGUAAGACGUGAGAUGUAAGCAGCUAUGGGAGAGACUCAGGUUGUUGGGGCAUGCACACAGUAUCAGCGCAGAGGUCAGAAAGCCUUGGUGGUAUGUUCUAGAUCAUUCCCUCUGUCCUGAAGGCUACAUCUUAUGAUUCCCUGCCCUUGCGUGAGCGUCUCUUCUACACAGCCCCACUCUGAAGGUCCUUAAGGCCCUCGUGCUUCUGUCUGUCUCAGGACUGCCCUUGAACACACCACAGGAUAUUACAGCAUCUCAGGGGACAAAGCAUGGCUCAUCCAUACUUGACUGCCUGCAUGCUGCAGGCCCAGGGAACAUAACCCAGAGUUGCUAACAAGCAUUGCCCAGAAAAAGGACUGAACUCUCCCCGGUUCUCUGUAAGAAUGAUUUUAUCUCUGUCGUCUCUGGAGGUGCCUGGGUUGCUCCAUCCCAAACCCAUUCCUCUAAGGCAAGUGUAAGCAAGUAUAUGUGACCAGUAGCUUAGCUCCAGCUGUAGUGGCAAGCUUAGCUAAACCACUUUGGCUCCCAGACAGUUGCGUGCUUACAAGCAGAGCCUUCUGGAUUCGCGAAAAGAACACACACACACGCACACAUUAGCUUAUUUUUGAUAUGUCUUGACUAGCUCAAAGGCUGGGCAGUUCUGAUCCUCCGCCCAGCUAGCAUACAUUUCCCUCCGGUACUCCUGACUCAACGCCUUCUGAAUCUGGGUUCUCUCUUCGCUGCCCUGUUACCUUCUGGGCCCCUCCCCUAGGGCUGCUUUCCCUUCCCACUUACAUUUUGGACGGUUUCUCCUUCUGCAGCUCUAAAUCUGACCCAUCUCGCUAGAUCAUCUCCAGUUUUCUCCCUGGCUGCCGGCCCUCACAAAUCCCCCAGGUCCCGCCCACCUCAGUUUACCUGCCCAGCCAUUGGCUGUAAAGCAAUCCUUUAAUGCCAAUCAAAUCCAGCUGGGGGCGGAGACAGAAGGUCUGGGACCUCUGCCUUUGGGAGCCGAAUUGAAUUGAGACAGCGUUAGAACCAAUCCCUAACACCAGCUAAGCCCUAACCUCUGAAGCCUUUGCCUCCUCCCAAAAUAAUAAUGGAGCCAACAACACACACCAAAGUCCCAAACCAAGGGGUCAGUAGUAUCCCAGUCGAAUUCUCCCUACCGCUUCCCAGCUUCUCUUAGCUCCGGGCAUCGUCCCUGUUCCUUGGAGUCAUCAAAUAUUCCUGUCUCUACCUCUGGCUUCACGAGGCUGUCUUCUAGCCAUUUGCUUUAAACCUUUCCCCAUCACACAGUCACACUGGGUUAGGGGCUUGUCUCAGUUAAUUUUCCCGUUGCUGUGAUAAAAUACCCGGACACAAACAGCGUGUGAAGAAGGGAAGUUUGGUUAGAUUCCAUCGAGACGGGGGAAGCCCCAGCAGCAGGAGCCUGAGGCAGCUAACCUCAAACAAGCAACAGAGAACAAGAGGUGUGAUCUCUUCCUUUUCAUGCUGCCCUCCUCUGGAGUGGGUCUUCCCACCUCGGUCAACCUAAUUAAGAUAUUCCCUCACAGCAUGACUCUAGGGCCUGCCAAGUUAAUGAUCAGUAUUAACCAUCACGGAACCCCUAUUCCAGUAUGGCCCAGUUCUAACCUACAUCUCUAAUGUUCCUGUUGCCAAGGAAGGCCACACACAUUUUGGGUACCAGUGCCUAGGACUUCAGCAUAUCUCUUGGGGGACACGAUGUACCCCCACAACAUUAGUUUUCAGUGGACGGUGAGCAAGGGGCAAGCCACUACCCCUCUCCAAUUCCCACCUCGACAAAGUCACCUCCAUCCAGGCUCCGGGAUCUCCUCUCAGCUGUCAUGAAAUAGUUCCUGCUGAUGUACACAGCCAUUUCCCAAGUCAUAGUCACCCCAAAGCCAGCCCUCACUGCCCUCACCUAAAAAGUUGAGGGGCCCAACCCCCUUCCUACACCCCGCAUCCAGUCCCCGCAUCCUGUUCCUUUCUAUACAGCGUUGAGAUGUUGAAAAGUUGGCCCACAAGCUACUGAACCCUGGUAUGUGCAACCCCAGAUUCUCCAUAUCCCCCGUCAUCCGGAGCUGCAGGGUUCCUGGGCUGUACUAGAAACAGCUCAAAACGACCCACGACUUCAUGAAUUCCUGUGGCACCCACUCGGUGGCUAGGCCUAGGCCUUCCCUGAAUAAUGUUGGCCCUAUCUUGUCCCCUUGGAAAGAUGGGCUUCAAGAGCUCACCUUCCCGUGGUGGGAGGACAUCAGGGGCUUAGACUAACAAAUGAGGGAGAAACAUGGCAAAGAGCUCCAAGUGUUAGCACCACCCAGGAGCUCCCCAGAUGGUCAGUGCGCUCCAAGGUGAGUGUCGGUGAAAAAGUAGGCUCAGAUGAGCUGAGGUCUAUCAGAACCGCUUGGGUGCUAGUCUCAGAAUGCAACUUCCUGUCCAACAUUGUUCAGGGACGUCCCCAGCUUCUUGCCUGCAGGUAAGUACCGGACUGUCAACUGGCUGGAGCUCGGGCGCGCCCUGCUGGCCACUGCAUUGCCGCAGUAGGAAACCAAGCCCCACACCUUCCGCAGCUAGCUGGGUCUCCCGGGUCCGCAGCCUCGAUGGCAAUCUAACUUCACCACUGCGACCUUAAUGGGCUGGUCCUGUAGCAGGACUCAUUCCGUGCUGUAAGAGCACUAAACUAGGCUAAUGUCUCUCAGGGGGACUGCCACUCCCUAGGGUGUGCAUUCUGCGAGUCUCAGACGUCCUGGCUGGCGUCGUCGAGGGGAUGGCGGGACGGAGGGAGGAGUCUAUCAGGGUCCGAGCCGGUUGGUGGAUGGGGAGGGAGGAGUGGGCGGAGCCUAGGGCAGGGCGGUUCCUCGCUCUCCCUCGCUUGCUUCGAGCCGGGCUCACCUCUGACUGUCCGGGGACAUGACUGGCACACCAGGAGCUGCUACCGCUGGGGAUGGCGAGGCCCCUGAGCGCUCCCCGCCCUUCAGCCCGAACUACGAUCUCACCGGCAAGGUGAUGCUUCUUGGAGACUCGGGCGUCGGCAAAACCUGUUUCCUGAUCCAAUUCAAAGACGGGGCCUUCCUGUCCGGAACCUUCAUAGCCACCGUCGGCAUAGACUUCAGGAAUAAAGUGGUGACAGUGGAUGGUGCCAGGGUGAAGCUUCAGAUCUGGGACACUGCAGGACAGGAGCGCUUCCGCAGUGUGACCCAUGCUUAUUACCGAGAUGCUCAGGCUUUGCUCCUGUUGUAUGACAUCACCAACCAGUCCUCUUUUGACAACAUCAGGAAUCCCAACAGAGCACUCUAGGAGAAGACUCCCCUGGUCCUUGGCCUCAGCCUGGCUCAGCUUGCCCUCUCCCACAGGCCUGGCUCACAGAGAUUCAUGAGUAUGCCCAGAGAGACGUGGUGAUUAUGCUUCUAGGCAACAAGGCCGAUGUAAGCAGCGAAAGGGUGAUCCGUUCUGAAGAUGGAGAGACACUGGCCAGGGAAUAUGGUGUUCCUUUCAUGGAGACCAGUGCCAAGACUGGCAUGAACGUGGAGUUGGCCUUUCUGGCAAUUGCCAAGGAACUGAAAUACCGUGCAGGGAGGCAGCCUGAUGAGCCCAGCUUCCAGAUCCGAGACUAUGUGGAGUCCCAGAAGAAGCGCUCCAGCUGCUGCUCCUUUGUGUGACCCCCUAGGGGCUAAGAGGAGGCCCAGAGACCCUUGGGGAUGCAGUACUCCAACUGCCACACCAACUAGGAGAAGCUGGGGGCUCAGUGGGCAGCCCCUGCCAAGGGAGUAGCCAUUACCCUAGGUUCUUUAGCUUCCCUGCAUCAUGGGAAGGAUUAAAUACUCAUACUUUAUCUUAAUAUACAUAAACUAAUAACACAAAAGGUA